AACACAGAGCUUAGGACACGUCAAGAAAGCAAAUACCCUACACAAAACAAUAUCUAGGGCUCCCUCUGCACGCUCAGAAGUGAGCAGUAUUUCUGGAUGGAAUGAGAUGGAUAACUGAUUACUGGGGGUCCUGGAAAGCCCUGGAAAGGUGGGGGCUGUUUACCAAGGGAAAUAACCAUGCAGUCAGAGGACUGGACCUUUGAGCCCCAGCUUCAUACUUCUGGAGAGGCAAGGGCAGGACAAGACUUCCAGGAAGAUGGUGGAGUGGUGAGCAGCAGGG